GGCUACAUCUUCCGGUGUCCGGUUCCCUGGUAACAGUGGCAGCAGAGGUGCCUGUGGCCGUCUACAUCAUCACGCGCACACGUGAGCCGGGAUGGAGGAAGCUCCCGCCCCCGAUCUCCUUGCCUCUUCCCGCUGGCGGGUCUUUUACACUGCUUAAAGACUGUUCGUGUUUAUCAAUCUUGGUUUGAUUCUGCUGGGGACGUCUGCUUGUUUGAACUUGCAUUUGUGUGUGGCAUACACAAAUAUUUUUUUGUCCACUGGGUGCGUGUAUUUAUUUUUCCUUUGGUGCUGGAUUAGGCUUUUUUUUGGCCUUUAGCUAUACAUUUCAUUUGGUUUCUGCCACUGGGUGCAUAUAUUUAUUUUUCCUUUGGUGCCGGAUUAGGCUUUUUUUUUUGUGUUGGCCUUUAGCUAUACACUUCAUAUGCUUUCUGCUGCUGGCAACCGGCGGCUAGGAGCGAGCCGCACGUGGGUCAGGUGAUGUCAUCUGGACCAGCCGGGCUGCCGCACCUGUGGAGAUGGAGCUGGGAUAUUGGUGAAGGUAUAAAGGUAGAAAUCCACAGCACAAGGAAUGGCAAGGUUACGUCUAGAGAACAACAAAGAACUGAAAAUGUACUGCCGGCAUACACAUCUGUCCACUUUAUAAUUGGUACCAAAAUCAACAUCAACAUAUCUUUAAGAAAACAAGUAUACUAUACAAGAUUCUCUGUCCAUUAAGCUAUUAGGACCACUUUAGAAUUGCCAAAAAUUCGGAGUCUCUUAUAAAAGUAGACAGAAUAUGGGUUACCACAUAUGCUUCUUUUUUUGAUCAUAUAUGAGCUAUAUUUGUGACGCCGUAUUGUAUGCUUUAAUAAAAAUCUGCCUUCCCUUU